rnacentral:rRNA from 1 species
AUUGAACGCUGGCGGCAGGCCUAACACAUGCGAGUCGAACGGUAACAGGAAGAAGCUUGCUUCUUUGCUGACGAGUGGCGGACGGGUGAGUAAUGUCUGGGAAACUGCCUGAUGGAGGGGGAUAACUACUGGAAACGGUAGCUAAUACCGCAUAACGUCGCAAGACCAAAAAGGGGGACCUUCGGGCCUCUUGCCAUCGGAUGUGCCCAGAUGGGAUUAGCUAGUAGGUGGGGUAACGGCUCACCUAGGCGACGAUCCCUAGCUGGUCUGAGAGGAUGACCAGCCACACUGGGACUGAGACACGGUCCAGACUCCUACGGGAGGCAGCAGUGGGGAAUAUUGCACAAUGGGCGCAAGCCUGAUGCAGCCAUGCCGCGUGUAUGAAGAAGGCCUUCGGGUUGUAAAGUACUUUCAGCGGGGAGGAAGGGAGUAAAGUUAAUACCUUUGCUCAUUGACGUUACCCGCAGAAGAAGCACCGGCUAACUCCGUG